GACGAACGCUGGCGGCGUGCUUAACACAUGCAAGUCGAACGGAAAGGCCCUGCUUUUGUGGGGUGCUCGAGUGGCGAACGGGUGAGUAACACGUGAGUAACCUGCCCUUGACUUUGGGAUAACUUCAGGGAACUGGGGCUAAUACCGGAUAGGAGCUCCUGCUGCAUGGUGGGGGUUGGAAAGUUUGGGGGGUUGGGGGUGGGCUCGCGGCUUAUCAGCGUGUUGGUGGGGUAGUGGCUUACCAAGGCUUUGACGGGUAGCCGGCCUGGGAGGGUGACCGGCAACAUUGGGAAUGAGAUGCGGCCCAGACUCCUACGGAAGGCAGCAGUGGGGAAUAUUGCACAAUGGGCGGAAGCCUGAUGCAGCAACGCCGCGGGCGGGAUGACGGCCUUCGGGUUGUAAACCGCUUUCGCCUGUGACGAAGCGUGAGUGACGGUAAUGGGUAAAGAAGCACCGGCUAACUACGUGCCAGCAGCCGCCGUAACAC
rnacentral:rRNA from 1 species